rnacentral:piRNA from 1 species
AUAAAUAAAAACAUCUAGUAGAUC